rnacentral:rRNA from 1 species
GAUGAACGCUGGCGGCGUGCUUAACACAUGCAAGUCGAACGGAAAGGCCCUGCUUGCAGGGUACUCGAGUGGCGAACGGGUGAGUAACACGUGGGUGAUCUGCCCUGUACUUUGGGAUAAGCCUGGGAAACUGGGUCUAAUACCGAAUAUGACAAUCGUUUGGAUGCGAUUGUGGAAAGCUUUUGCGGUAUGGGAUGAGCUCGCGGCCUAUCAGCUAGUUGGUGGGGUAAUGGCCUACCAAGGCGUCGACGGGUAGCCGGCCUGAGAGGGUGUACGGCCACAUUGGGACUGAGAUACGGCCCAGACUCCUACGGGAGGCAGCAGUGGGGAAUAUUGCACAAUGGGCGCAAGCCUGAUGCAGCGACGCCGCGUGGGGGAUGACGGCCUUCGGGUUGUAAACUCCUUUCGCAACCGACGAAGCCUUUUGGUGACGGUAGGUGGAGAAGAAGCACCGGCUAACUACGUG